GAUGAACGCUGGCGGCGUGCCUAAUACAUGCAAGUCGAGCGAACGGACGAGAAGCUUGCUUCUCUGAUGUUAGCGGCGGACGGGUGAGUAACACGUGGAUAACCUACCUAUAAGACUGGGAUAACUUCGGGAAACCGGAGCUAAUACCGGAUAAUAUUUUGAACCGCAUGGUUCAAAAGUGAAAGACGGUCUUGCUGUCACUUAUAGAUGGAUCCGCGCUACAUUAGCUAGUUGGUAAGGUAACGGCUUACCAAGGCAACGAUGCAUAGCCGACCUGAGAGGGUGAUCGGCCACACUGGAACUGAGACACGGUCCAGACUCCUACGGGAGGCAGCAGUAGGGAAUCUUCCGCAAUGGGCGAAAGCCUGACGGAGCAACGCCGCGUGAGUGAUGAAGGUCUUCGGAUCGUAAAACUCUGUUAUUAGGGAAGAACAUAUGUGUAAGUAACUGUGCACAUCUUGACGGUACCUAAUCAGAAAGCCACGGCUAACUACGU
rnacentral:rRNA from 1 species